rnacentral:rRNA from 1 species
GAUGAACGCUGGCGGUGUGCCUAAUACAUGCAAGUCGAGCGAACAGACGAGGAGCUUACUCCUCUGACGUUAGCGGCGGACGGGUGAGUAACACGUGGAUAACCUACCUAUAAGACUGGGAUAACUUCGGGAAACCGGAGCUAAUACCGGAUAACAUGUUUAACCGCAUGUUUCAACAGUGAAAGACGGUCUUGCUGUCACUUAUAGAUGGAUCCGCGUCGCAUUAGCUAGUUGGUAAGGUAACGGCUUACCAAGGCAACGAUGCGUAGCCGACCUGAGAGGGUGAUCGGCCACACUGGAACUGAGACACGGUCCAGACUCCUACGGGAGGCAGCAGUAGGGAAUCUUCCGCAAUGGGCGAAAGCCUGACGGAGCAACGCCGCGUGAGUGAAGAAGGUCUUCGGAUCGUAAAACUCUGUUAUUAGGGAAGAACAAAUGUGUAAGUAACUAUGCACGUCUUGACGGUACCUAAUCAGAAAGCCACGGCUAACUACGUG